rnacentral:rRNA from 1 species
GCAAGUCGAACGGCAGCAUGGAGAGCUUGCUCUCUGAUGGCGAGUGGCGAACGGGUGAGUAAUAUAUCGGAACGUGCCCAGUAAUGGGGAAUAACUAAAUGAAAGAUUACUAAUACCGCAUACGACCUACGGGUGAAAACAGGGGAUCUUCGGACGUUGCGUUAUUGGAGCGGCCUGUGUCUGAUUAGCUAGUUGGUAGGGUAAAAGCCUACCAAGGCGACGAUCAGUAGCUGGUCUGAGAGGACGAUC